rnacentral:piRNA from 1 species
UGCUACCCUCAGUGGCCAGUGUGGGC